CACGUAGGGGGCGAGCGUUGUCCGGAUUUAUUGGGCGUAAAGAGCUCGUAGGCGGCUCAGUAAGUCAGGUGUGAAAACUCCAGGCUCAACCUGGAGACGCCACUUGAUACUGCUGUGGCUAGAGUCCGGUAGGGGAGCAUGGAAUUCCUGGUGUAGCGGUGAAAUGCGCAGAUAUCAGGAGGAACACCAGUGGCGAAGGCGGUGCUCUGGGCCGGAACUGACGCUGGAGGAGCGAAAGCCGUGGGGAGCGAACAGG
rnacentral:rRNA from 1 species